ACGAACGCUGGCGGCGUGCUUAACACCUGCAAGUCGAACGGAAAGGCCCUGCUUGCAGGGUACUCGAGUGGCGAACGGGUGAGUAACACGUGGGUGAUCUGCCCUGCACUUCGGGAUAAGCCUGGGAAACUGGGUCUAAUACCGGAUAGGAGCCAUUUUUAGUGUGAUGGUUGGAAAGUUUUUUCGGUGUAGGAUGAGCUCGCGGCCUAUCAGCUUGUUGGUGGGGUAAUGGCCUACCAAGGCGGCGACGGGUAGCCGGCCUGAGAGGGUGGACGGCCACAUUGGGACUGAGAUACGGCCCAGACUCCUACGGGAGGCAGCAGUGGGGAAUAUUGCACAAUGGGCGCAAGCCUGAUGCAGCGACGCCGCGUGGGGGAGGACGGCCUUCGGGUUGUAAACUCCUUUCGCUAGGGACGAAGCUUUUUGUGACGGUACCUAGAUAAGAAGCACCGGCUAACUACGUG
rnacentral:rRNA from 1 species